CCGGAAGUGACGACACGGAACACGCCAUUAAAAAGCAGUAGCCCGGCUUCCCCGCUCUCUCGGCCUUAGCGCCAUCUUCCUUGACACCCCUGCGCCAUGAGAGCGAAGUGGAGGAAGAAGAGAAUGCGCAGACUGAAGCGCAAGAGAAGAAAGAUGAGGCAGAGGUCCAAGUAAACUCGCCUGCGUACCCGCGAAGGCCGCAUGAGCAGCAGUAAGGGACGCUGGAGGCCGGGACGCAGGGACAAGCUGGACUGAGCUGCAGCCGGAGGACUUCUCCGGACCCGCGACCUCGCCACCCGCUCGCGGAGACCACCGAGAGACCGACGCCCUGCCGUCAUGACAACAGCCCCGCUGGCCCUUUGCCCUGGACCUGUGGCGUUCUGGACUAGUUCUGUCUUCACUUGUGGCCAAUUGUAACCCGUGUACAAUAAACCAUCUUUGUCGCUGUCA